UCUAUAUGCAAAUAUCAUAAAACGCUUUGACAUCUGCAUGACAUGUGUUCAAAGCCAAAAACUCACAUCAACACUCACUCGGCGUUAAAGCAUGUUGUUCGCCCUUUCGAACGCCUUUUGACAUGAUGUAGCUGCACGAGGGGCUUUUAAAACAGCAAGAAGUCGCUCCAUUGGCACCUAAAUGGCAAAUUUUGUUAUUCUGCUUCGUGGAUAAACACAGGCAAGGGACGAAGCAAAAUUUCGAGAGCCAUUUGAAUUUAUUCAAGGAAACACCGACUUGCUUCUCGCCUGGGUUUGGCAGCUGGUGAUAGCCUUCGUAAUAACACCGCUGCA
rnacentral:misc_RNA from 1 species